rnacentral:rRNA from 1 species
UACGGAGGGUGCAAGCGUUAUCCGGAUUCACUGGGUUUAAAGGGUGCGUAGGUGGGUUGGUAAGUCAGUGGUGGAAUCCCCGAGCUUAACUUGGGAACUGCCAUUGAUACUAUCAAUCUUGAAUACUGUGGAGGUCAGCGGAAUAUGUCAUGUAGCGGUGAAAUGCUUAGAUAUGACAUAGAACACCAAUUGCGAAGGCAGCUGGCUACACAAUUAUUGACACUGAGGCACGAAAGCGUGGGGAUCAAACAGG